CGCCGGCCGACACAGCGCAGACAGAUCGGUAGGUUGGGGUGUCGCGAGUGCGAGAGGUAAGCGCCGCGGCCUGCUUUUCCAGACCUGCCCUUCUCUUCGUUCGUGGCGCCUUGUGACGCCGGGACCCUGCCGCCUGCAGGUCGGUAACCGCGCUGCGCUCCUGUGCUGCGGCUUGUGGCUGAACUGCCUGCGACGCACUGCCUGCUGCCCGACUGACUGGCAAGAUGAAGCUCUUCCUGGUGGCCGCGAUGCUGCUG
rnacentral:other from 1 species